rnacentral:tRNA from 1 species
CGGGGUGUAGUAUAGUGGUUAAUACGCUGCAUUGUCAAUGCAGUAUCACGAGUUCAAUUCUCGUCACCCUGACCA